UACGUAGGGUGCGAGCGUUGUCCGGAAUUAUUGGGCGUAAAGGGCUCGUAGGCGGUUUUGUCGCGUCGGGAGUGAAAACUCAGGGCUUAACCCUGAGCCUGCUUCCGAUACGGGCAGACUAGAGGUAUGCAGGGGAGAACGGAAUUCCUGGUGUAGCGGUGAAAUGCGCAGAUAUCAGGAGGAACACCGGUGGCGAAGGCGGUUCUCUGGGCAUUACCUGACGCUGAGGAGCGAAAGUGUGGGGAGCGAACAGG
rnacentral:rRNA from 1 species